CUGUGGUGAGGUAGUAAGUUGUGUUGUUGUAGGGGAAGAUUGUGCACCCUGUUCAGGAGAUAACUAUACAACUUACUGCCUUCCUCAG
rfam:Takifugu rubripes chromosome, Chr_3